ACUGAGGUGGCAGAGCGGUGAUUGCCGUCGUGCACAAGCCGAUGGAAGCUAUGUAGCGGUUCCUCCGUAGGUUCGAGUCCUACCCUCAGUU
rnacentral:tRNA from 1 species